rnacentral:rRNA from 1 species
AGAGCGGAUGGAAGAGGGAAUGCUUCCAUCGAGACGGUACCGGGAGAGGAAGCCCCGGCUAACUACGUGCCAGCAGCCGCGGUAAUACGUAGGGGGCAAGCGUUGUCCGGAAUCACUGGGCGUAAAGGGUGCGUAGGCGGUUUUGCAAGUCUGAAGUGAAAGUUCAGGGCUUAACCCUGAGAGUGCUUUGGAAACUGUAAAACUUGAGUGCUGGAGAGGCAAGGGGAAUUCCACGUGUAGCGGUGAAAUGCGUAGAGAUGUGGAGGAAUACCAGUGGCGAAGGCGCCUUGCUGGACAGUUACUGACGCUGAGGCACGAAAGCGUGGGGAGCAAACAGGAUUAGAUACCCUGGUAGUCCACGCCGUAAAACGAUGAGUGCUAGGUGUUGGGGGGUACCACCCUCAGUGCCGAAGUAAACACAAUAAGCACUCCGCCUGGGGAGUACGGUCGCA